AUGGCAGGGGCUGUCUUCACCUUGCUCACACAAACAGGGCUCCCUGCUGCCCCACCCUGGUCAUGUCCUUCCCCCCAGCUCCUCCUGAGCCCCCUCCGCUCGGUGGAGGGCGUGUGGUCCCCAGACCUACCCCUGCCUCUCACGGCCCACCUGGGACAGCGGACUCAGGUGUCUCAGUGCGGGGGCAGCUCAGGCACAGACCCCAGGCAGCAGAGUAAGGAAGAGAUGCACGUUAUCGACCCUGGAUGUACAGGACCCGCUCAGCAGAGCUGCAGGGAAGCGCUUGUCUCUGGGCAGAGGGGCUUUAGGGACGGAUUCAUUUCGUAAGAGGCUUUCAGAAAGUUACAUGAUGCGUCAUUUCCCUCACGGGAUCAAUAAAGUAUCUAGGCUGGAGAAUUUUAAUGUGGCUAAUUGCUUAUAAAUGGACAAAUUCCAUCCUGCUGGAGAAUCGGCAGCCCUCGCACUCCUCUGAAGCCAGAUUUCAGGAGUGUUGGUGACAGAGCCGGGGGUAAAACUGUGGAGAAUUGGGGAAUUUAAGACGCCUGAGCGGCCAGCAGCCCAGGGUGUCUCCGGAGAGAGACAGGCGACAGGAGGGUUCAGGGGUCGGCCCCGAGUGGCCAGAGGAAUUCCCCACAGGCCCGUGAGAGAAGUGGAGAGGGGCAGCAGGGAAAUCACUCCCGGCGGAGCUUGCCUCAGUUCCUGCAGGUAAACUGACAGCACGCAGGCUCGCACCGUCGAAGCGCCUCACACAGGUGAUCGCCCCACAGAUCCCACAAGCACAGGCUGUUUUUUUAACAAUUCUUAGUUCCUCUUUCAUGUUCAACCACAUUAACCCCUCCAUUCUCAUUUCAUUUAAAUGCAAAUAUUAAUUCAUGUUUUUGUUUUCUUUUUCAAGGCAGCAUUAGAAUACAAUGGCUAGACAGCCUAAAACAUACACGUUUCAUGUUCAGUGUGUGUUUAUUGUUUCCUAUCUUUAUUUUUGUUGUUGUAACAAGUCUUCAGAAAGCAUGAUUGUAAGAACACCGUACAGUAUCCGAAGAGGUUAAGAAGAAGCUGAUCUGCACAUAUUUCUAGUGGGGGAAACGAGUGUGAGAGUGUUUAUGCAAGUUGGGUGAAAACCCCUUGAAUUGCCUGGAAAGGAAAUACACUGUGUUCUGGGGUAUUUUUAACCAGCUAUUUUUGUUUACAGACCUGCUAGUAAGCCACCUUAGCAGAGUGCUUGCGCUCUGUACAGUUGGGCUCAUCUCCAGCAGGCCAUCAUCUCAGGCGAUCUUGAGAUGAUUUAUGAUCUGAAUGAGCAGAAGAAGGACAGAAAGGGUGGUGUUCAGUAAGAGCAAUAGAUGGGUCUACUGUCAUUGGGCUAGACAUGCAUGAGAAUUGUUUUCAAAACAGAUUUAAAUGGAAUGUUAUGAACAGUAGUGUUUCUUCACUAUUUAUGAAAGGAGAUUUAGGCUGCAUUUCUGAUAACUGUGUGAAAGCAAGGACUCCAUUCGGUGUCUUUAGUUGGUAUUGGUAACAGGUGGAGUGAGAGUCCCAGAUAAAUCCCUCUUCAUUUCGUAACGCAAAUGG
rnacentral:lncRNA from 1 species